AGAGUUUGAUCAUGGCUCAGAACGAACGCUGGCGGCGCGUUUUAAGCAUGCAAGUCGAACGGUAGUAUGGUGCUUGCACCAUAUGAGAGUGGCGAACGGGUGAGUAACACGUAAGUAAUCUGCCUUGAAGUUGGGGAUAGCCUGUGGAAACACAGGGUAAUACCAAAUAAGUCUGUUAGACGGGAGUCUAACAGGGAAAGGAGCUAAGGCUUCGCUUUAAGAUGAGCUUGCGGUUCAUUAGCUAGUUGGUGGGGUAAAGGCCUACCAAGGCGACGAUGAAUAGCCGGCCUGAGAGGGUGACCGGCCACACUGGGACUGAGAUACGGCCCAGACUCCUACGGGAGGCAGCAGCUAAGAAUCUUCCGCAAUGGACGAAAGUCUGACGGAGCGACGCCGCGUGAACGAUGAAGGCCGUGAGGUUGUAAAGUUCUUUUCGGGAGGAGGAAUAAGGUUUGCAGGAAAUGGCAGACUGAUGACGUUAAUCCCGGAAUAAGCCCCGGCUAACUACGUGCCAGCAGCCGCGGUAACACGUAGGGGGCAAGCGUUGUUCGGAAUCAUUGGGCGUAAAGGGCGUGCAGGCGGUAUUGCAAGUCUGGCGUGAAAGAUCUCGGCUUAACCGAGGGAACGCGCUGGAAACUGUAAUACUAGAGUACAGGAGGGGACAUUGGAAUUCCAGGUGUAGGGGUGAAAUCUGUAGAUA
rnacentral:rRNA from 1 species